CUAUGACCUCAAAUCGGUCACGGUGACCUGCUGAAUGUAAGCAUCUCACUAAGAAGUACAAAAUAAACUAACCAGGAUUCCCUCAGUAAUGGUGAGUGAAGAGCCCAGCACCUAAUCCCCAUCCGGCAGCAGACAGGGUAAAUGUAGUGUAUCGAAGACUGACUCCACAGCAUAGCUCAGGGGGGCCAAGUCCUUCCGAUUGACGCCCAUCACGUGGAUGGUGGUAGGCUGGUAGUGGCCCCCGGCAUGCUGAGAUCAGGUUGUCACAGAGUCAGGUUGCUUGGGAAUGCAGCCCAAAGUGGCUGGUAGACGCCAUCUAAUGCUAAAUAAGGGUGCAAAACUGAUAACCGACAAGUACCAUAAGGGAAAGUUCAAAAGAACUUUGAAGAGAGAGUUCAAGAGAGCUUGAAACCAUCAAGAGGUAAACAGGUGGGGUCUGUGCAGCCCGCCCAAAGGCUUCAACAUGGUUGGUAGGUUGGUCAAGCAGAAUGGCAGCUCCCCUGGGGGAAGGCCAGCUAGUCACUCCUGGCCCCCGCAGGGAACAUUUCCUCUGUGGUGGUGCAUCGGGACCAGGUCUGGAUCAGCUGGGUACACCUGGGGCAGGCAGAUGGCUAUCAGCUCCAGCAGAGAGUGUUAGAACCCUCUGACUGCAAUUUCACCAUAUCCAUGGGUCUGAGGGACAUUGACCACCUGCGUGCCCUUGUCUGUUAACUGUCCCGGCCGCCAGGGCAGCGAUGGGGCCCCCUGCUCCCGGUGUGACUGUCGACUGGGGUGGACUGUCAUCAGUGUCCCCAACAUGUGCCCAACAAUUGCACCGCCGGCAGGGAGGCCCAUGAAAGGCGCUAAGAGUCUGUGGUGAUGUCGGUUACCCACCUGACCUGACCUGACUUGAAACAUGAACCAAUGAGUGUAACACAUGCACGAGUCAGGGCGCCAAAUAAAACCCUGUGGUGCAAUGAAGGUAAUGGUCAGUGCACUGGUAGAGAUGGGAUAGCGUUGCAACAGGCACACCACCAGCCUGCUUGUUGUGGAUGUUUAGCAUAAGCAUGUGGGAAAGGACCUGAAAGAUUGUGAACUAUGUCUCAGCAGGUUAAAGACAAAGGGAACUCUGUUGAAGGUCUGUAGUGGUCCUGACAUGCAAUUUAGUCAUCUGACCUGGGUACAGGGAUGAAAGACUAAUCAAACCCUCUAGUAGCUGUUCCCUCCAAAGUUUCCUUCAGGAUAGCUGGUGCUUGGAAACCCCAGAUUUAUCUGUUAAAGUGAAUGAUUAGAUGUCUUCAUGCCAAAAUGAUCUCAACGUUUGGGUUACCGUACUAGACCCGGGGCGAGUGCCUGGGUGUAGCUGCCGCAGGUGCAGGUCUUGGUGGUAGUAGCACAUAUUAAAAUGAGAACUUUGAAGGCCGAAGUGGAGGAGGGUACCACUUGAAUAGAGAUUGAACAUAGGUCAGUCGUUUCUAAGAGAUGGACGAAUGCUGUUUGGAAGUGACGGGUGAUGGCCUCCUUUGCAUUCAUCCCAUCGAAAGUGACUCUGGUUCAGAGCACAGACUGGAGGAGACGGGUGCCCUCACAGGGUCCAGUGCUGUAACACAAAUGUUGCCAGAGAAGGCGGCGGGAGCCCCGGGCCAGUUCUAUUUUCUUUGUGAAGGGCAGGGCACCCUGGAAUGGGUUUGUCCCAAAAACGGUGACCUAGCCUUGGAAAGUACUCAGGUUCUGGCUUUGUCUGGUGAGCUCUUGCUGGUCUAGAAAAUCAAGGGCAGGUAGUGUGAAUCGUGCACCAGGCCGUACCAUAUCUGCAGCAGGUCUCCAAGGUGAACAGCCUUGGGCAUAUUGGAACACUGUAAGUAAGGGAAUUCAGCAAGGCAGAUCCAUAACUUAUGGAUAAGGAUUAUCUCUAAGGCAUGCGUCGGUCAGGCUGGUGCGUGAAGCGGGGAUGGCCAUGUGCUGUGCUAGAUGAGGCACCCCGUAGGGGCCUGCUGACUGCAGGUGAGAGCCAGGCCCUUCCUGUGGAUCGCUCCAGCUUGGGUGGUCACCUCUCUCCAAUCCCCUCCCUACAUUCGGGCCAGCCUUCUGCCUCUGCCAGUGCCUAGCAGCAGAUUUUGAACUGGUGCAGACCUGAGGAAUCCAAUUGUUUAAUUAAAACAAAGCUUUGUGAAGGCCCAUGGUGGGAGUUGAAACAAUGUGAUUUCUGCCCAGUGCUUUGAAUGUCAAAGUGGAGAAAUUAAUUGAAGCGCGUGUAAAUGGCAGGAGUAACUAUGACUGUCUUAGCCACUUCAAAAAAGUGGUACAAGUAGCCAAAUUUCUUGUCAUCUAAUUAGUGACAUGCAUGAAUGGAUGAACAAGAUUCCCACUGUCCCUACCUACUACAUAGCAGAACCACAGCCAAGGGAACAGCCUUGGCAGAAUCAGCAGGGAAGAAGGUCCUGUUGAGCUUGACUCUAGUCUGGCACUGUGAAGAGACAUGAGAGGUGUCAGAUGAGUAGAGACUGCCAGGCCACUGGUGAAAUACCACUGCUCAUCAUUUUUUUCUCUUACCCAUUGAGGAGGGGGUCAAGCCCAGUGGGGCUGUUGCUUCUGGCUCCAAGCCCCCCGCUACAGCCGGGUGUGACCCGCUCCAGGAACAGGGGCCGGUAGGUAGUUUGACUGAGGCAGUACACCUGUCAAAUAAUAGCUCGGGGAGGACUGAAACCUCCCACGGUUCCGAACGGGAAAAGCUUGCUGGAUCUCGAUUUUUAGUAUAAAUACAGAUGUGAAAUCACAAUCCUUCUGACAUUUUGGGUUUCAAGCAGGAGGUGUCAGAAAAUGACCACAGGGAAAACUGUUGUGUGGCAGCCAAGCAUUCAUAGAGACGUCGCAUUUUGAUCCUUCAAUGUCAGCUCUUCCUAUCAUUGUGGAGCAGAAUUCACCAAGAGUGAGAUUGGUCACUCACUAAUAGGGAAUGUGAUCUGGGUUUAGACCGUUGUGUGUCAGGUUAGUUUUACUUUACUGAUGAUGUGUUGUUGCAAUAGUAAUCCUGCUCAGUACGAGAGGAACCGCUAGUUCAGAAAUUUGGUGUGCUUGGCUAGGGAUCCAAUGGGGCAAAGCUACCAUGGGUGGGAUUCUGACUGAACACCUCUAAGUAAGAAACCCCCUAAACUAUAACGAUAUCACAGCAUUGUGGAACCUCAGUUGGCCUAGGAUAGUGGUUUCUGGGCCGGUGUGUAGAGCUGCUCGACUCAGGACCCGAGUGUAGACAGAAGGGGGACACCUCUCUCACCUGUAGUGCACCACAUGUUCAUGGGUAUUGGGGUGCAAAAUCAUUCAUAGAAAACCUGCUUCUGGAUCAGGUUCUUCCUC
rnacentral:rRNA from 1 species